rnacentral:tRNA from 6 species
UCCGCCAUUGUGUAGUGGCUAGCACAUGGGCCUUUGAAGCCCAGGGUCCAGGAUCGAUACCUGGUGGCGGAGCAA